AAUAUUAAAGAGUUAAAUGCACCGGCGGCCCUUGAAUUUGUGCCGAUGUGUUAUCUAGGUACACGAACUUUUGAAAUGCAUUUUUAGGUCCCCAAACUUGCUAAUCGUGCCAAAUAAAACUUGCUAAUCGUGCCAAAUAAGUCCAAAUCUUAGCAAUUUGCAUUAAAACGCCGAUUACACUAUAAUUAUCCCAUCUCUCUCUCUCUCCAUCUCUCUCUCUCCCGGACGCCAGCCGGUUCCUCCCCGCGCCGCCGGCUCCAGCGUCCCCGUCUCCAUCGCCGGCUCCCACCGCCCGCUCCAUCCCUCCCUACUUUGGCCCCCCUCUUGUCUUCCCAGUGGCACCCCUCCCCGGUCGCCUCCUCCCUUCCCACGCCAGCCGUCGCCCCCUCCCUUCCUUCCUGAGCAGAUCGCCACUCCUCCCUCUCCCCGCGCCGCCAACCACCGGUCCCUCACCCUGCACCGCCAGCCGCCCCAUGAGCCCCGGGUUCGCGCGGCCUCGUGGCCACCCUGCAGAGCGUCGUGCAACGCUUG
rnacentral:lncRNA from 1 species